AACGAACGCUGGCGGCAUGCCUAACACAUGCAAGUCGAACGAUUGCCUUCGGGUGAUAGUGGCGCACGGGUGCGUAACGCGUGGGAAUCUGCCCUUAGGUUCGGAAUAACAGCUGGAAACGGCUGCUAAUACCGGAUGAUAUCGCGAGAUCAAAGAUUUAUCGCCUGAGGAUGGGCCCGCGUUGGAUUAGGUAGUUGGUGGGGUAAAGGCCUACCAAGCCGACGAUCCAUAGCUGGUCUGAGAGGAUGAUCAGCCACACUGGGACUGAGACACGGCCCAGACUCCUACGCGAGGCAGCAGUGGGGAAUAUUGGACAAUGGGCGCAAGCCUGAUCCAGCAAUGCCGCGUGAGUGAUGAAGGCCCUAGGGUUGUAAAGCUCUUUUACCCGGGAAGAUAAUGACUGUACCGGGAGAAUAAGCCCCGGCUAACUCCGUG
rnacentral:rRNA from 1 species